CUGUGGACUGGGUUUUCCAAAGACUGCCCAUCAGCCUCUUGCUAUGAUAAUCUUGGUUCUACCCAGCUAGUUUCCUUAAAAUUUAUCACCCAAACCAGUGAUAUUUAAACACUUUCGUAAGUGAAUAAUUUUUUGUGUGACUGAAUAUUAACAAUCGCUUUUGUGAGUGUUAAUAGUUGUGCCAGGACAACCGGUCAGCCUGUGUAUAGGAGCAGGGCCUGCUCAGGGGCCAAGGGCCCAGGCCCUGGAGUUAGAGAGAUGGGCUUCACAUCUGCCUCCGCUCUUCCUGGCUGUGAAGACAGGGCCAGCCAGUGGCCUCCGCGUCCUUCCGUUUUCUGAUCUAUAAAUAGGGAUGAUGCUGCCCACUUCACGGGUCGUGCCCGCCCCGUGGUGAGCACUUCCUAAAUGUUAGGUAUCACUUUCACUGUCAUUCUUGUUACUAAAUGGGUCCUUUCUUGCUAGACCUCAGAAAUACAACAAAGGGACUUGUUGAGAAGACAAGCCCAGCCUUUGAAAGGCAAUGCACAGAGAAGGCCUGUGGUGCCUCCACCCUCCUCCCUGAGGAACUAGUGUGAUGACUGGUCUGACCAGGACGCCAGCAGCCAAACACAGAUCUUCUGGAGGCACCUGCCUUUCCUGGCUCAGGAGCCCCAGGCCUAGCCUCAGAUGACGCCUAUUCUUGAUCAGCUCAAAACCUGGCCUUGGGGGCACUUGAAGAUGGACACCCCCAAUGGGGUGGCUACCGCUUCCUCCUCUGAGAUCCAGAUGGAUCUGCUCUCCUCCUCUCCAGAGAAGAUGCCUUAGCACUGGCUCCUCAGGGACCCUUAACCUCAUGCAGGUGCAUCUGGCUGGAGGUGUCUUAAGUGGCAUGUCUGCCCCAUCUGCAGUUACUGGACCUCAUCAUCAACCCUUCUCCCAUAAUUGAUCUUACAAACCACAGCAGAACCCAGGAGAAAGCUGAGAGCUGUGUCUCAAAAAGAGAAGAAUUCCUUGAAAAGAGGAUUCAUGGCUUCACUCCAAAACUCAGGGCUUUCUGUUAUCCUCUGACCGCCUCGCUCACGGAUCUAUUCCUUGCUUGCCUAGAGCUGCCCCUGGGUGAGUGCUCUGAGAGCAGGGACCUUGUUCAUCUCUCCAUCCUCAGAACCCAGAACAGUGCCCGGCCCACCAGAGGUACUGGAAAGGUUGAGUUACUGAGUCGUGUCCAUGAAUUGUCCCCUCCCACAGUGAAUAGGGCUGACCUGUGUGACUAGUAAGG
rnacentral:lncRNA from 1 species